rnacentral:rRNA from 1 species
AGGAUGAACGCUAGCGGCAGGCUUAAUACAUGCAAGUCGUGGGGCAGCGCGGGUAGCAAUACCUGGCGGCGACCGGCAAACGGGUGAGGAACAUGUACGCAACCUUCCUUUAACUGGAGAAUAGCCCCCUCGAAAGAGGGAUUAAUACUCCGUAACAUAUUGAUAAGGCAUCUUAUUAAUAUUAUAGCUCCGGCGGUUAAAGAUGGGCGUGCACCUGAUUAGAUAGUUGGCGGGGUAAUGGCCCACCAAGUCUGCGAUCAGUAACUGGUGUGAGAGCACGACCAGUCACACGGGCACUGAGACACGGGUCCGACUCCUACGGGAGGCAGCAGUGGGGAAUUUUGCGCAAUGGGGGAAACCCUGACGCAGCAACGCCGCGUGGAGGAUGAAGCCCCUUGGGGUGUAAACUCCUUUCGAUCGGGAAGAUAAUGACGGUACCGAUAUAAGAAGCCCCGGCUAACUUCGUGCCAGCAGCCGC